rnacentral:rRNA from 1 species
UACGUAGGGGCCUAGCGUUGUCCGGAUUUAUUGGGCGUAAAGGGUCCGUAGGCGGUUUGAAAAGUCAGAUGUGAAAGCCCACAGCUCAACUGUGGAACUGCAUUUGAAACUUUCAGACUAGAGUAUGAGAGGGGUUAAGGGAAUUCCCGGUGUAAGGGUGAAAUCUGCAGAGAUCGGGAGGAACACCAGUCGCGAAGGCGCUUAACUGGCUCAUUACUGACGCUCAGGGACGAAAGCUAGGGUAGCAAACGGG